AAAACGGUGUAUUUAAUAAGCUUUUCCCCUAAGAACUUAAGUUAGGAAUUCUUUAGAAACAUCCAUGGCUGCCUAAUUAGAGAGAGAAAAUUUAGAAAGAGAAACCCCAAAAAACUUUGAAAAAAAAAAAAAAGGAAAAAACAAAGUUAGGAAUAUCUUUUUCACCAAACAGAAACCUCCAUGGCUGCCUAAACACAAAGACAAAGAAGACAAAUAGAAGCCAAAAUGAUGAAGCAAUCUUUGUUAUUUUCUGAGAAUCUAACACCCCCUAAGUUUGAAGUGAUUGUUAUAAAUGCAAAUAUGAGUUGCAAUGGUUGUCGCCAAAGAGUUUCUCAAAUUGUCUCUAAAAUGUCAGAAUUAGCGGAGUUGACUAUAGAUGUGACAAAAAAACAAGUGAUUGUUAAAGGAAAUGUCAAAUGCCAAAGCAAGAAUCAAGAAAAUACUAUUCAUUCCCAAAUGAACAACUGCGAUUCUUUAAAAUCCCCCUCCCCCCACUUUUCAAAUAGUUGCUUUUAAAUUUAUUCUUUUCAAAUAUAUAUACUAUUCUAUAUAUACAGCUUUUAUUUGUGUAUCA